rnacentral:rRNA from 1 species
AUUGAACGCUGGCGGCAUGCCUUACACAUGCAAGUCGAACGGCAGCGCGGGAGCCAUCCUGGCGGCGAGUGGCGAACGGGUGAGUAAUAUAUCGGAACGUGCCCAGUAGUGGGGGAUAGCCCGGCGAAAGCCGGAUUAAUACCGCAUGAGGCCUGAGGGUGAAAGCGGGGGAUCGCAAGACCUCGCGCUAUUGGAGCGGCCGAUAUCAGAUUAGCUAGUUGGUGGGGUAAAGGCCUACCAAGGCAACGAUCUGUAGUUGGUCUGAGAGGACGACCAGCCACACUGGGACUGAGACACGGCCCAGACUCCUACGGGAGGCAGCAGUGGGGAAUUUUGGACAAUGGGCGCAAGCCUGAUCCAGCAAUGCCGCGUGCAGGAAGAAGGCCUC